UCGGUGCAUAAUUGCAUAUGUACAUGUAAAUUACAUCCAUGCAUCAGCUAAUGGGUACAAAUACAGGUUACUCCUACAUGUACAUAUAGAGCCCCAGUUAACGUCCCUACGCUCCUUAUGUACUUCGGAGCCAAGUCAAAAGUAUCUCGUCGUGAACCUCUAGCAUGCUGGAGUAAAAUAUAGGUUAGCUAGGGGAUACAAAUACAAAUCCACAAGUAUUAAGAGAUUUCGUUGAAGGAGACUGACGGUGCUGAUCAGGAUUGCCCGCUUUUUCCAUUUCUAGGACCUUUGGAAUGAUCUCUGACCAAAUACCAUGCGUAACAAGUGUCAACUUGGCGAUUUAUCCAUGAUUUCAAGGAGUUCGGGGACAGACAGUAGACUAUACUUCACAGUGGUCGUAUUGGCGAAAUCGUCACCUUCAAUUUAACCAUUGAACUGUUGAUUUUGUUGACUUUUUGUGGUUGAUGUUGAUAUAAGUGAUGAUUGAUGUUGAUAUAUGUGAUGUUGACUUUGAAAAUUAUAUCUUAUAUAAUGUAAAUCUAAAGCAAAAUAAUAUAAUUAAAAGACAAUUUGUGUUGAAAUGUGUCCGUAGCACGAAUGAGGUCAACCCAGCGUGCUACUUUUCCCGUCAGGGAGGGCACAACUUAUGUUGAUGUUGGGGGUAUGCCAUUUUGCCGGCUGCCCCACUGUUGUGUAGACCACUGUGGACAAUACCUGCCAACUCGAAUAAAACAUUAAACUUAAA